GGGAUCACACAAGCGGUGGAGCAUGUUGUUUAAUUCGAAGCAACGCGAAGAACCUUACCAGGCCUUGACAUGUACGGAUUAGCUCCCUGAAAGGGGAGUGACAGCUCUUCGGAGUCGGAACGUACACAGGUGUUGCAUGGCUGUCGUCAGCUCGUGCCGUGAGGUGUUGGGUUAAGUCCCGUAACGAGCGAAACCCUUAUCGUUAGUUGCCAGCGGGUAAUGCCGGGGACUCUAGCGAGACUGCCGUUGUCAAAACGGAGGAAGGUGGGGACGACGUCAAGUCAUCAUGGCCCUUAUGGCCUGGGCUACAAACGUGCUACAAUGGUCCGUACAAUGGGUACCCAAGUCGCGAGACGGAGGCAAUCCCAUCAAAGCGGGCCCCAGUUCGGAUUGCAGGCUGCAAUUCGCCUGCAUGAAGCCGGAAUCGCUAGUAAUCG
rnacentral:rRNA from 1 species